GUGCCAGCAGCCGCGGUAAUACGUAGGGUGCGAGCGUUAAUCGGAAUUACUGGGCGUAAAGCGUGCGCAGGCGGUUUGUUAAGAUAGGCGUGAAAUCCCCGGGCUCAACCUGGGAACUGCGUUUAUGACUGGCAGGCUAGAGUAUGGCAGGGGGGGGUGGAAUUCCACGUGUAGCAGUGAAAUGCGUAGAGAUGUGGAGGAAGACCGAAGGCGAAGGCAGCCCCCUGGGCCAAUACUGACGCGCAUGCACGAAAGCGUGGGUAGCAAACAGGUUUAGAUACCGCGGGAGUCUACGCACUAA
rnacentral:rRNA from 1 species